GUUGCUAAGCUUGGACGUGGCUAUAUUUAUUUGAUGCCUUGCUCUUCAAGUUAAUAUUGUGUGCAUUGUUUGUUGCUUGAUUCUAAUGUCCAAGGGAAUUUGGGCUUCUAUAUGACAUUCUUGUCUAUUGGAUUGCAGCCCAUUGGUAAGAUCUUUUCAACUCUUAACUUCUAAAUUUAUGCUUAGGAUUAGUCUCUUCAUCUCCUCCCCACUUCUUUAAU
rnacentral:lncRNA from 1 species